rnacentral:snRNA from 1 species
GUCUCUUCGGAGACAUCUGAUAAAAUUGGAACGAUACAGAGAAGAUUAGCAUGGCCCCUGAUCAUUGUUCUAUGGUUUUCAGAUGCUUUCUCUAUUUAC